rnacentral:lncRNA from 1 species
GGAGCUACGUAAGGAGUGGGAGGUUGGCCUAGGGAUGACAUUCUUUGGAGUUCGGCACAUAUUUUUAAGUAGGAGAAUUGAUAGGUUGAAGCCCAUGUGAAAGAGGCCUGCAGCAGUAGAAGCCCAGUAGCAGCUAGGCACUGGCCCAGGCCCAGUCAACCAUGUGCGGGCGCAUGCAUGCGGGCCGGUCUAGCAAAGAGUAGUGAUGGCGUACUGCGGCUUACCGCGUUCUCACAGUCCACGAAAGGGUGCGUGGAUCGAGCACCCACUUCUCUGGUAUUUUGCAUGGUCUAUGGUGGACCAACGCGCUUCCCAGGCUGUUUCUUGCAGUUUACAGAGGGUUUUAUGGACCAAUGGC